GACGAACGCUGGCGGCGUGCCUAAUACAUGCAAGUUGAGCGAUGAAGAUUGGUGCUUGCACCAAUUUGAAGAGCAGCGAACGGGUGAGUAACGCGUGGGGAAUCUGCCUUUGAGCGGGGGACAACAUUUGGAAACGAAUGCUAAUACCGCAUAACAACUUUAAACAUAAGUUUUAAGUUUGAAAGAUGCAAUUGCAUCACUCAAAGAUGAUCCCGCGUUGUAUUAGCUAGUUGGUGAGGUAAAGGCUCACCAAGGCGAUGAUACAUAGCCGACCUGAGAGGGUGAUCGGCCACAUUGGGACUGAGACACGGCCCAAACUCCUACGGGAGGCAGCAGUAGGGAAUCUUCGGCAAUGGAUGAAAGUCUGGCCGAGCAACGCCGCGUGAGUGAAGAAGGUUUUCGGAUCGUAAAACUCUGUUGGUAGAGAAGAACGUUGGUGAGAGUGGAAAGCUCAUCAAGUGACGGUAACUACCCAGAAAGGGACGGCUAACUACGUG
rnacentral:rRNA from 1 species